rnacentral:rRNA from 1 species
UGGGGAAUAUUGCGCAAUGGGGGCAACCCUGACGCAGCCAUGCCGCGUGAGUGAAGAAGGCCUUAGGGUUGUAAAACUCUUUCAGCGGGGAAGAUAAUGACGGUACCCGCAGAAGAAGCCCCGGCCAACUCCGUGCCAGCAGCCGCGGUAAUACGGAGGGGGCUAGCGUUGUUCGGAAUUACUGGGCGUAAAGCGCGCGUAGGCGGGCUGGCCAGUUGGGGGUGAAAUCCCGGGGCUUAACCCCGGAACUGCCCUCAAUACUGUCAGUCUUGAGUUCGAGAGAGGUGAGUGGAAUUCCUAGUGUAGAGGUGAAAUUCGUAGAUAUUAGGAAGAACACCAGUGGCGAAGGCGGCUCACUGGCUCGCAACUGACGCUGAGGCGCGAAAGCGUGGGGAGCAAACAGGAUUAGAUACCCCCGUAGUCC